GCCAUCCCUACACCGGAGAAUGCAACCGGAGAAUGCAAGGAAGGGUGGAGGAGGGGAGUCUGCUCCGGCGACGGUGGCGGCGGCUCCCCCAGGGAUUCCCUCGGAUGGGAGAACGCCGCGUCCUCUGUUUAGCGUCCAGCAUUCAGGGCCAGCCAAGCAUGCAUAAAUAGUGUAAUCACCAGCAAGAAGUCAAGGCACACAUAGCAGGUGUAAGGUAACAUGGCCAAAUGGAUAUACAAACAACUAGGCAGUUGUGAACCACCACAAGAUGUUUGCUUUCAAAUGUUCAUGUCUAAAGAAAUAUAUUUUGCCAUAUGGCAUAUCAGUAGAUCAAAAAUCAUUUAAAGUGUAAAAAUAAUA